AGCGAACGCUGGCGGCAGGCCUAACACAUGCAAGUCGAACGGAUCCUUCGGGAUUAGUGGCGGACGGGUGAGUAACACGUGGGAACGUGCCCUUUGGUUCGGGACAACUCAGGGAAACUUGAGCUAAUACCGGAUGUGCCCUUCGGGGGAAAGAUUUAUCGCCAUUGGAGCGGCCCGCGUCUGAUUAGCUAGUUGGUGAGGUAACGGCCCACCAAGGCGACGAUCAGUAGCUGGUCUGAGAGGAUGAUCAGCCACACUGGGACUGAGACACGGCCCAGACUCCUACGGGAGGCAGCAGUGGGGAAUCUUGCGCAAUGGGCGAAAGCCUGACGCAGCCAUGCCGCGUGAAUGAUGAAGGUCUUAGGAUUGUAAAAUUCUUUCAGCGGGGACGAUAAUGACGGUACCCGCAGAAGAAGCGCCGGCUAACUUCGUG
rnacentral:rRNA from 1 species